UACGUAGGUGGCAAGCGUUGUCCGGAAUUAUUGGGCGUAAAGCGCGCGCAGGCGGUUCUUUAAGUCUGAUGUGAAAGCCCACGGCUCAACCGUGGAGGGUCGAUUGGAAGCUGGGGAACGUUGAGUGCAGAAGAGAAGAGCGGAAUUCCACGUGUAGCGGUGAAGUGCGUAGAGAUGUGGAGGAACACCAGUGGCGAAGGCGGCUCUUUGGUCUGUAACUGACGCUGAGGCGCGAAAGCGUGGGGAGCAAACAGGAUUAGAAA
rnacentral:rRNA from 1 species